rnacentral:rRNA from 1 species
UGGGGAAUAUUGCACAAUGGGCGAAAGCCUGAUGCAGCGACGCCGCGUGAGCGAAGAAGUAUUUCGGUAUGUAAAGCUCUAUCAGCAGGGAAGAAAAUGACGGUACCUGACUAAGAAGCACCGGCUAAAUACGUGCCAGCAGCCGCGGUAAUACGUAUGGUGCAAGCGUUAUCCGGAUUUACUGGGUGUAAAGGGAGCGUAGACGGUUGUGUAAGUCUGAUGUGAAAACCCGGGGCUCAACCCCGGGAGUGCAUUGGAAACUAUGCAGCUAGAGUGCCGGAGAGGUAAGCGGAAUUCCUAGUGUAGCGGUGAAAUGCGUAGAUAUUAGGAGGAACACCAGUGGCGAAGGCGGCUUACUGGACGGUAACUGACGUUGAGGCUCGAAAGCGUGGGGAGCAAACAGG